rnacentral:rRNA from 1 species
CCUACGGGAGGCAGCAGUGAGGAAUAUUGGUCAAUGGACGAGAGUCUGAACCAGCCAAGUAGCGUGAAGGAUGACUGCCCUAUGGGUUGUAAACUUCUUUUAUAUGGGAAUAAAACGUUCCACGUGUGGGAUUUUGUAUGUACCAUAUGAAUAAGGAUCGGCUAACUCCGUGCCAGCAGCCGCGGUAAUACGGAGGAUCCGAGCGUUAUCCGGAUUUAUUGGGUUUAAAGGGAGCGUAGGUGGAUUGUUAAGUCAGUUGUGAAAGUUUGCGGCUCAACCGUAAAAUUGCAGUUGAAACUGGCAGUCUUGAGUACAGUAGAGGUGGGCGGAAUUCGUGGUGUAGCGGUGAAAUGCUUAGAUAUCACGAAGAACUCCGAUUGCGAAGGCAGUUCACUGGACUGCAACUGACACUGAGGCUCUAAAGUGUGGGUAUCAAACAGGAUUAGAUACCCGUGUAGUC